UACGAAGGGGGCUAGCGUUGCUCGGAAUCACUGGGCGUAAAGGGUGCGUAGGCGGGUCUUUAAGUCAGGGGUGAAAUCCUGGAGCUCAACUCCAGAACUGCCUUUGAUACUGAGGAUCUUGAGUCCGGGAGAGGUGAGUGGAACUGCGAGUGUAGAGGUGAAAUUCGUAGAUAUUCGCAAGAACACCAGUGGCGGAGGCGGCUCACUGGCCCGGUACUGACGCUGAGGCACGAAAGCGUGGGGAGCAAACAGG
rnacentral:rRNA from 1 species